CUCUUCUUGGAGAUCGCUCCUUGUGGAGAAUAUUGUGAGCCCACAACAUCAGCUCCAGUCAUCCAAAAGGCACUUCAGGACCUGAAAACCACCUCUUGGCAAAGGCGGGCACAGAACACUGUGCCAGGUUGACAUGUGUGCCCUUUAGAAGCUUUACAGCAAGUAGCUCAGAUGAAGAUUCAGCUGGCAACUUUGUUCAUAUUUUGACACAUCAGUGAAGUGCUUUGCUUUUCUCUAAAACCACAAGGGACACUCAAAUCCUGU